ACGACCAUCUACCGUUGAAACACUGGUUUUCGUACGAUCACCGAAGUUAAGCAACGUCAUACCUAGUUACUACCUAGAUGGGUGACGGCUAGGUAAAACCAGGUGUUGUU